GUUGUAAAAACCUGUCGACAACGCCAAUCACGCUGUACACUUGUGACAUUAAAGACGUGUGGGUUCAACUCGUUGUCAGUAAUCCUAUUAUCACCAUGUCUCUAAUACGCUCCUUGAUCAUUUUCGCCGCCUGUCUAGUCAUUUGCACGUUGACCGUUCAGUCGGCAAGCGUUGAAGAGGAUAACAUGGUCGAAGGUGAAUGGAAUGAAGAAUACGAACGUUUGGCCGAUGACGACGAGGCUUUUUCCUUCGAUAAUGCGGAAGAAGAAGAACUGAUGGAAGAGCGUCAAGCCAAUAACCAACAAAAAAUUAAGGAACUCUGGAAAGAGGCCAAUCCCAUCGCCUGGACGAUCAAACGACUUUAGAGCUGGACACAAACAACUUAUAUUGAAUUCUUCCCAGAUGAAAUCCGGCUAUAUAAACUUUGUAUCCCUUUAUCUCAUGCCUUCCACAGUUUUUACUAACUGUUGUUUUUCAUCUUUUUCACCUUCCUCUGACACCAAUAAAACAUCUAUCAAAUUUUCUUUGAAUACACCCUGGAAUUACAUUA